CGGGUGAGUAACACGUGAGUGACCUGCCUUUUAGACUGGAACAACUUACCGAAAGGUGAGCUAAUGCCGGAUGAGUUAUAUAAGUGCAUGUUUAUAUAGGAAAAGUUGGGGAGACCUGACGCUGAAAGAUGGACUCGCGUCCCAUAGCUAGUUGGUAGGGUAAUGGCCUACCAAGGCGACGAUGGGUAGCCGGCCUGAGAGGGUGGCCGGCCACACUGGGACUGAGACACGGCCCAGACUCCUACGGGAGGCAGCAG
rnacentral:rRNA from 1 species